GAAUUUGCUAUUUUAGACACUUUUAUAAGCUGUCAUACUACACGUGGCAUGUGGUAUCCCACUAAUUAGCUAUUUUAAACAUGUGACAAGUGGUAUGACACUGUAUUGAUGUAUGUGAAAUGUAUAGAGUCUUUUAGUUAUCAGAUAAUAUCAAGGAGGUUACAGCAUGGUGUCCGAUUUAAAGUGCGAGCCUGUGUACGAGUAACAACAGUAUUCAAAACCUAUUUAAACCAACCGAACCAAAACUAGCUUGGCAUUGGUUUUUUUUAAUCAUCUAUUAUAUAUAUGUGUAUUUUUUAUAUAAAUGUACUAGCUAGAGUAUAGUGUAUUAAAAUUUUUUUUAAUGUAUUUUUGUUGUAAU